UCUUAUGGACGAGCAAAGAUAAUGUUUUCUCUAAAUGGAAACUACUCUUGGUGAAGAUGCUGUGAA
rnacentral:pre_miRNA from 1 species